CCCAAAAAGCCACCUAAAGCAAGUUACGGAUCAAUCCUUCGUAAAUCAUUUUACGAGCCCCAAUCAUCCCGGUGACCUCAACCCUCUGCCCUCUUCUCUCUCUCUCCUACCCCACACACUCUCUCCUCAAACUCGCCUACACCAUCGCCACUCCUCCGUCGCUGUGAAACUCUAGAAGAAAGCAACAGCUGGGGACAAGCGAUGCCAAGAGGACUCGGUAUUGUUUCAUCUAUUGUGAGACAAUGAGCUUAUUCUAAAUCAGAACUCAAUGCUCCAAAAGAUGGUGCCUUUUAUCAUGAAUAUGCACAGCACAUUGUGUAGUCAUUUGGCGUUGUUGGAUGCUUUUGUGUUUCAAUUGCUGCUGCCGAUCUGAACGUACUUCAGUAAUUUUAUUUUUUAUUUUUUAUUUUAUCAGCAGCAGCAGAAAAAAUAAAGAUUUGAAAUAUUCCAACUUUGGCUUAAUGAUUUUUUUGUCAAAAAACCUAUAAGCUGAAGUUAGAGUACUUCAAAUCUUUGGGCUUUUCAGAAGCAGAAAUUGCAGAGUUAUUGUCAUCUGUACCUUAUAUCCUUGGAAGAAGCCUUGAAAACCAAAUCAUACCUGCUGUUCAAGUCAUUAGACGUAUUGUUGGUACCAAUGAGGAUGUCUUGAAAGCAAUCAAAGCGUGCUAUGGAAUACUUGAAUUAAAGUUGGAGAAGGUGUUGGAACCAAAUAUUGCAAUCUUGUUGAAUCAUGGUGUACCCAAGUCAUUAGUCCUAAAAUGGUUUAUACCCAAGUCAUUAGUCCUAAAAUGGUUUAUGAAUAAACCAAAGUUCCUACUUUUAAAAAGUGAUCUGUUUAGUGAGGUGGUCAAUGAUGUUAAAAAAAUGGGUUUUGAUCCCACAAAUUUGCUAUUCAUGUCAGCGAUGCAUUCAAUGGCAAUGAAUCAAUGAUGAGCAAAUCACCCGGGGAGCAAAAAUUGGGAGUUUAUUCUAGUUUUGGUUUGUCAGAAGUCGACAUUAUUGCAUCAUUCAAGUUAAAACCACUGUGAAUGACUGCUUCAAAGGAGAAGAUCAGGAAAUCAAAUACUUCUGCUAUUUAGCUUGGAGAAGAGGAUGGUGUACUGUUCUACAGCUUUUGAUGUCGAAAAAUCUGAUUGAGGAAGACGUGAGCUUAAUAUAUGCACUCAAAAUGACUGAAAAGAUGUUUGUGGGGAAGUUUAUGAGCAAGUAUCAGAAUGUGAUUCCUGAAUUCGUCAAGCAAGUCAAGGCAAGAUACAAUUUCAAGGGUUUCCCUUUAAUUUAAGAACAUGAAUGGCUGUAAUAUUUGUGGAAUUUAAGAACAACUUCACUAUAUUGUAUUACUAGUCCAUAGAAAAUCACCAUGUGGAGCUUAUAUGGUAGUUGUAUGGGGUAGUGGCAGUGGCAGUACUAAACGCAGCUCAGGAGAAGUUCCCUUAGCAUCCAUUAGUUCUGGAAGAACGACAUCAAUUGAAGGAUCGCAAAGUCCUAUUAGUGAUUCUUCUUUUUUUUUUCCCCUUCAAAAAACUAUGGUAGACAUUUGCUUUUUAUGCUUAAGAUAGAUUUACUUCAAUUUGUACAAUUUAAGCAUCAUUUUGUUGUUCUUGUACGAUGAUGCAUGGACAAUUCAGUUUGUUUCCUCCUAAUCUUAUGAACUACUGGUCCUUCGUUUUGCAGUCACUCAUAUGAGUUGUACUUUUGUUCCUGUUCUGUGCUUUCACCGCAUGGUAUAUUGUACAGAGAGCUUUAAGAGAGCUUGUGCUUUGAUGGGUGUUAUGGAAGACUUGUGCAAGGCUCACCAUGUUAAUUUCAUUUUAUCAUAUGCAUGGUGCCUGUUUCAGGGUCUUUAUCUCAGCCCCAAGCAUCGGCAUUACCUGCGUCUAUCCACUAGAAAGGUAUGAUAGUGUGUGUGGGCAUCCUUAAUCUUGUGGAGAGUUUUGUGACCAAUUAUCAUGACAUGAUAUAGUUACAUUAUUAUGAAUAACCAGCUUGUUUUCCUGAGUUUCACACUGCUGUUUAGCAGGAAACUUUUUGUGACAUUAGAGCAAGGAACUUCAACUCAUAGUUCAGGAGAGAUUGGUCCUGACGUCUAUUGAGCCUAGUGGUUCACUAAAAAUCUGUUUUAUGACCUUUGAUUUCUUAUCACUAUUUUUCUUUCUGUUUAAUACAAAAUAUUGCAGAAGAUUAGGUAAGAGAUUGGGUAAUGCCUACUUGUAUUAUAACUAACGGCAUUCAAGUAAAUUCUGCCAUCUUAAGCUUUUUUAAUGGAUUUAACUUCUAAUUCAUUUAUUUCUUGAACAUCCUAAUCAUUAAAUUGGGGAUACAACAAUAUCACAAACAUUAAAUUAGGCGCCCAAUUUCAUUAAAUUGGGGAUACAACAAUGAUGCAAAGGUAUUCCAUUCUCUAUUUAAUGUAGUAUAGGAUGAGCUAAAUGGUACAUUUGAGAUGGGCUGCAAGUUCAAUUUUGUUCAAUGUCUCAUUUCAGGUUAUUCUCUUUGACAAUCAUUUUUUUUUUGUUUUGUUUUGGUUGUUUAGAAUUAGAAUUGAACAUAGGAAAAAUAUUGGAGAGUGAUUUUAAACAAUUGAAUAAUUGAUUUCUUAAACUGAAACGACCCUAAAUUGAUACCAUUUUUAAAAAAAAUUUGGCAUGACCUCCCCUAAAAAGGGGACUAUAACCAUCUGCUCAAAUAAAAAAAAAACACAAUGGCCCUUCCUGGCCUCUCAAAACACCUCCAACCUGUCCCAACACAUAAUACAAUUAAUAUACUCCAACAUCCCAUCCAUUCGUUCAUUAUACCUCAACAUGGUUCAUCUCAUGGUAGAACAUCUACACAUCGUCUAAUCCAAAUUAUCAUAAUUACAAUUCCAAAAUAUAGUUACAAUAACAAGAGUUCACAAAUCUCUUUACCAAAUAUAACAAGUUAAGAUAUUACAAAAAUAUGGGACUUAAUACAAAAAUAGCAAAAAGAAGUCUUCUAAUCCAAAUUAGGCCUGUGGUGGAAAGUCAUCCGCCAUUUCUUUCCCGUUUCCUAAAAAAAAAAUUAUUAAAUUAUAGGGUAAGUAUAAAGCUCAGUAGGUAGCACUUAAGACACGCUUCUUGUGUCCUCGUGAAUCUAAACAUAGAAUAGAGCAAUGAGAAUGGGGAUCAGGCCAUGUAGGGAAACCACAAUAUAAUAAUCAAUCUCCACAUAAUUAACAUAAUGCAAUGGGAAUGCAAUGCAUGCCGAUGUCGCUCCCCAUUUUCAAAAUCAAAACCAUCACUUGUAAACUGUUAAUAUAACCCACCCUUUGGUGACCCAGCAGUGACACGAGAGAAGGAUUGGCUAGUGUCCCUGACCCUUGGUACCCCCGCAGCGUCAUUAUGGGGCCCAGCUAGCUCAACCACGCUAGGGCAAUCUCCCUAGUUCCCUCUAGGCUAUAUUAACCUUCCGGCCCUUUGGUACCCCCGCGGCGACCGGGUUUUCACAAAACCGAUUCAUUAUAAUAUUUUCCCAAAAUUCUCUUUUUCUUUUCAACACAUAAACAUGCUCUUUACAUAAAGCAUUUAAUCAACAUAGUUCCAUGGUUAUCAUAUAAGCAUGCUUUUCAUACAACAUAUUUAACACAUUCUCACAUGUUCAUAUAUCUCAAUCAAGUCAAUUUAAACUAUAAUUAACAUAAUUAAGCAUUCUAAGACGC